rnacentral:lncRNA from 1 species
AUUUAACCUAAACCCCACUUUGCAAGAACAAAAUUGCAACCAUAGAACUCCAAGAUCAGAAAGGCAGAGUAAACCCCAAAACACUACAAGUCCAAGAAUCCCAAAAACUUCCAAAGCAGAAAAGAAGAUCACAAACUCCAAACCCGCUACAAGAUCAGGAAAAAACCCCAAUCACAGGAACUCUACCCCUAAAUCGCAGACAACCCUAAAUUCCUAAUUUCAAAACUCCCAAUCCCGAAUAAGAACCUCCAAUAUUUCGCCAC